AGCUCCAAUAGCGUAUAUUAAAGUUGUUGCAGUUAAAAAGCUCGUAGUUGGAUUUCUGGGAGGGUGCCAAUGUCCGUCGUCGUACGUGUUGCAGCGGCGCCCUUCCAUCCUUCUGUUAACGACUUUGGGCAUUCAUUUGCCGGAGUCGGGCUCAGAUAUUUUACCUUGAGAAAAUUAGAGUGUUUCAGGCAGGCUAGGCCGGAAUACAUUAGCAUGGAAUAAUGGAAUAGGACUACGGUCUCUUUGUUGGUUUGAGGGACUGCAGUAAUGAUUAAUAGGGAUAGUUGGGGGCAUUAGUAUUUAAUUGUCAGAGGUGGAAUUCUCGGAUUUGUUAAAGACUAACUUAUGCGAAAGCAUUUGCCAAGGAUGUUUUCAUUA
rnacentral:rRNA from 1 species